rnacentral:rRNA from 1 species
GAUGAACGCUGGCGGCGUGCCUAAUACAUGCAAGUCGAGCGAACAGACGAGGAGCUUGCUCCUCUGACGUUAGCGGCGGACGGGUGAGUAACACGUGGAUAACCUACCUAUAAGACUGGGAUAACUUCGGGAAACCGGAGCUAAUACCGGAUAAUAUAUUGAACCGCAUGGUUCAAUAGUGAAAGACGGUUUUGCUGUCACUUAUAGAUGGAUCCGCGCCGCAUUAGCUAGUUGGUAAGGUAACGGCUUACCAAGGCAACGAUGCGUAGCCGACCUGAGAGGGUGAUCGGCCACACUGCAGCUGAGACACGGUCCAGACUCCUACGGGAGGCAGCAGUAGGGAAUCUUCCGCAAUGGGCGAAAGCCUGACGGAGCAACGCCGCGUGAGUGAUGAAGGUCUUCGGAUCGUAAAACUCUGUUAUUAGGGAAGAACAAAUGUGUAAGUAACUAUGCACGUCUUGACGGUACCUAAUCAGAAAGCCACGGCUAACUACGUG